rnacentral:rRNA from 1 species
CAGCCGCCGCGGUAAAACGGAGGGUGCAAGCGUUAAUCGGAAUUACUGGGCGUAAAGCGCACGCAGGCGGUUUGUUAAGUCAGAUGUGAAAUCCCCGAGCUUAACUUGGGAACUGCAUUUGAAACUGGCAAGCUAGAGUCUUGUAGAGGGGGGUAGAAUUCCAGGUGUAGCGGUGAAAUGCGUAGAGAUCUGGAGGAAUACCGGUGGCGAAGGCGGCCCCCUGGACAAAGACUGACGCUCAGGUGCGAGAGCGUGGGGAGCAAACAGGAUUAGAUACCCGCGUAGUCCCUGUCUCUUAUAC